CACGAACCAAGCCACACAGAUGGGGCGACCAGAAACCUAAGAAAACAGCAACAAAUUAGUUUGACCAAUGGGUGAAACUGCUGUGGGUGAGAUUGUGCAGAAUGAAGAAGCAUCCAUUACAAGCUCCAGAAUGGACAUUGAGACCCAACUGCACAAAUGUGGCUGGAGAGGAUGUUGUUCAGAGGGAAAGUGUCCAUCACAUCACAUGUAUGGAUCUGCAGAGAAGAAAAUGUUAAAUUAAAAACAACCUAGGAAAUGAUUGUUUGGAAAUGAUCCCAUUAAAAAUAAAGAUGGAGAAUUUGGGGGGCCCAGUGGAGUAAUGGUCAAGUUUGCGUGCUCCAUUUUGGCAGUCCAGGGUUCGUGGGUUCAAUCCCAGGCAAGGACCUACACACCGCUCAUUAAGCCAUGCUGUGGCAGCAUCCCACAUACAAAAUAGAGGAAGACAGACACAGAUGUUAGC
rnacentral:lncRNA from 1 species